UUCAAGCUCAAUAUCAACUUGGUUAAGGUCAUAAACGGAGUAUGACAGCUAAAUGAGGAAAAUCUUGUCCUCUUGUCUGAUACUCUAGAAAUUAACUAAUACAAGCAAUCUAUCGAAUAUAUUUUACUUUUACAUGUCACGAUAUUAUGCAAGUUUCUUUAUCAAAAUCCCACCACUGAUAAAUUAUGUGAUAUUUUACUUUUACAUGUCACGAUAUUAUGCAAGUUUCAUUAUCAAAAUCCCACCACUGAUAAAUUAUGUGACAGGCAAUCGGCGGUGUUGGAAUCAGUGAUUCUUGUAAUCUACUCGGGAGGCUCGCUUGGUCUCCAAACAGUCCCUUUUGGUUCGUCCAUCAGAGCAAUGCCCUUGUCAUAAAGCUCUUUUCUGAUCUUGUCUGAUGUCUCAUACUCCUU
rnacentral:lncRNA from 1 species